CUACGGGUCGCAGCAAUGGGGAAUAUUGGACAAUGGGGGAAACCCUGAUCCAGCAAUGCCGCGUGUGUGAAGAAGGCCUGCGGGUUGUAAAGCACUUUCGGUUGGGAGGACUGCUUCUAGCACUAAUAUUGUUGGAAGUUGACGUUACCUUCAGAAGAAGCACCGGCUAACUCCGUGCCAGCAGCCGCGGUAAUACGGAGGGUGCAAGCGUUAAUCGGAAUUACUGGGCGUAAAGCGCGCGUAGGCGGCUAGAUCAGUCGGGUGUGAAAGCCCCGGGCUUAACCUGGGAACUGCAUCCGAUACUGUCUAGCUUGAGGACAGGAGAGGAGAGUGGAAUUCCACAUGUAGCGGUGAAAUGCGUAGAUAUGUGGAGGAACACCAAUGGCGAAGGCAGCUCUCUGGCCUGAUACUGACGCUGAGGUGUGAAAGCGUGGGGAGCAAACAGGAUUAGAUACCCUAGUAGUC
rnacentral:rRNA from 1 species